CGAGUUGGCCGGGCAGUCGCUGUUGGAUGCUGUUUCAGUAUCUGGUGGAGGAAAGUCCGGGCUCCAUAGGGUGUGGCGCCAGGUAACGCCUGGGAGGCGAAAGCCUACGGAAAGUGCAGCAGAGAGCAGACCGCCUAAGUCACCAGCUGGUGACCGGUAAGGGUGAAAGGGUGCGGUAAGAGCGCACCGCGUGACUGGUAACAGUUCACGGCAUGGUAAACCCCGCCUGGAGCAAGACCAAAUAGGAAUCCUAGAGGUGUGGCCCGCACUGGAUUCGGGUAGGUUGCUUGAGGUGUCUGGUGACAGGCAUCCCAGAUGAAUGAUUGCCCAGACCUGUUUUACAGGUUGGACAGAACCCGGCUUACAGGCCAGCUCGAGAC
rnacentral:RNase_P_RNA from 1 species